rnacentral:rRNA from 1 species
CCCCAGGUCAGGCGGGACUACCCGCUGAGUUUAAACAUAUAAAUAAGAGGAGGAGAAGAAACUUACGAGGAUUCCCCUAGUAACGGCGAGUGAACCGGGAGAUGCCCAGCUUGAGAAUCGAGCGGCCGCACCACUCGAAUUGUAGUCUGGAGAGGCGUCCUCAACGACGGACUGGGCCCAAGUCCCCUGGAAAGAGGCACCUAGGAGGGGGAGAGCCCUGUCUGGCCCAGACCCUAUUGCCCCAUGAGGCACCAUCAACGAGUCGGGUUAUUUGGGAAUGCAGCCCAAAUCAGGUGGUAAACUCCGUCCAAGGCUAAAUACAGGUGAGAGACCAAUAGCGAACAAGUACAGCGAGGGAAAGAUAAAAAGGACUUUGAAAAGAGAGUCAAAGAGUGCUUGAAAUUGCCGGGAGGGAAUCAGAUGGGAGCCGGUGAUGCGCCCCGGUUGUAUGCGGAACGGCUUCGGCUGGUCUGCCCGUCAGCUCGAGGUGUGGACCAUUGUCGGCCACGCCGGCGGCCAAAGCCCGGGGGCAACGUGCCCCCGGCAGCCAUCGUCAUCAUAGCCGGUCAACGUGUGCCUCUAGCGUGCCCCUCGGGGCGCUACGUCGCAACAGCCUACGGGCUCCCCAUCUGACCUAUGUUGAAAGAUGGACCAUGGAGUCUGACAUGCGUGUGAGUCGACGGGUCCUAGAACCUGGGAUGCAUAAGGAAGCUGAUGAGCAGGAGGCCCUCGUGGGCCGCACUGCUGGCUGACCCUAAUCUUUUGUGAAGGGUUUGAGUUGGAGCACGCCUAUCGAGACCCAAAAGAUCGUGAACUAUGCCUGAGCAGGGCGAAGCUAGAGGAAACUAUAGUAGAGGCUUGAAGCGAUAUUGACAUGCAAAUCGUUCGUCUGACUUGGGUAUAGGGGCGAAAGACUAAUCAAACCAUCUAGUAGCUGGUUCCCUCCGAAGUUUCCCUC